rnacentral:tRNA from 1 species
AUGUUGUUUAUUAGGUAAAAUGCUUGCCUAGCAUGUAUGAGGUCCUGGGUUCCAUCCCCAGCAU